rnacentral:rRNA from 1 species
GUGGGGAAUCUUAGACAAUGGGGGAAACCCUGAUCUAGCCAUGCCGCGUGAGCGAUGAAGGCCUUAGGGUUGUAAAGCUCUUUCAGCUGGGAAGAUAAUGACUGUACCAGCAGAAGAAGCCCCGGCUAACUCCGUGCCAGCAGCCGCGGUAAUACGGAGGGGGCUAGCGUUGUUCGGAAUUACUGGGCGUAAAGCGCACGUAGGCGGACCGGAAAGUCAGAGGUGAAAUCCCAGGGCUCAAACUUGGAACUGCCUUUGAAACUCCUGGUCUUGAGGUCGAGAGAGGUGAGUGGAAUUCCGAGUGUAGAGGUGAAAUUCGUAGAUAUUCGGAGGAACACCAGUGGCGAAGGCGGCUCACUGGCUCGAUACUGACGCUGAGGUGCGAAAGCGUGGGGAGCAAACAGGAUUAGAUACCCCGGUAGUCC